GGGGUCCCAGUGUCACCCUAUGGGGUCCCUAUGGGGUCCCUAUGGGGUCCCGGUGUCACCCUAUGGCUGUCCCUAUGGGGUCGUAUGGGGUCCCCGUGUCACCCUAUGGGUGUCCCCCUAAGGGGUUCCUAUGGAGUCCUUAUGGGGUCCCUAUGGGGUCCCGGUGUCACCCUAUGGGUGUUCCCCUCUAUGGGGUCCCUAUGGGGUCGUAUGGGGUCCCGGUGUCACCCUAUGGCUGUCCCUAUGGGGUCGUAUGGGGUCCCCGUGUCACCCUAUGGGUGGCCCCCUAAGGGGUUCCUAUGGAGUCCUUAUGGGGUCCCUAUGGGGUUCCUAUGGGGUCCCGGUGUCACCCUAUGGGGUCCCUAUGGGGUCCUGGUGUCCCCCUAUGGGUGUCCCCCUAAGGGGUCCCUAUGGGGUCUCUAUGGGGUCCCAGCGUGACCCUAUGGGUGUCACCCUAUGGGUGUCCCUAUGGGGACCCUAUGGAGUUCCUAUGGGGUCCUGGCGUUACCCUAUGGGGUCCCUAUGGGGUCCCAGUGUCACCCUAUGGGGUCCCUAUGGGGUCCCGGUGUCACCAUAGGGUGGCUCCCUAAGGGAUCCCUAUGGGGUCCUUAUGGGGUCCCUAGGGGGUCCCGGUGUCACUCUAUGGGUGUCCCUAUGGGGUCCCUAUGGGGUCCCGGUGUCCCCCUAUGGGUGUUCCCCUCUAUGGGGUCCCUAUGGGGUCCGUAUGGGGUCCCCAUGUCACCCUAUGGGUGGCCCCCUAAGGGGUUCCUAUGGGGUCCCGGUGUCACCCUAUGGGGUCCCUAUGGGGUCCUGGUGUCCCCCUAUGGGUGUCCCCCUAUGGGGUCCCUAUGGUGUUCCUAUGGGGUCCUGGCGCCACCCUAUGGGGUCCCUAUGGGGUCCCGGUGUCACCCUAUGGGGUCCCUAUUUAGGGUCCUUAUAUGGGGUCCGUGUGGGGCUGCUAUGGGGUCGCUAUAGGGUCCCCCAUGGGCUGACCCCAUGUAAAGCCCCUACAUGACCCUAUGGGAGUCCCCCUAUGGGGUCGCUAUGGGGUCCCUAUGGGGUCCUGGCGUCACCCUACAGGUGUCUCUAUGGGGUCCCUAUGGGGUCCCAGUGUCCCCCUAUGGGGUCUUUAUGGGGUCCCGGUGUCACCCUAUGGGUGUUCCCCUAUGGGGUCCCUAUGGGGUCCCUAUGGGGUGCCACCGACCCCCUUUGGGUCUCUAUGAGGUCCCUGCGUCACCCUGCGACACCACAGAACCCUAUAGGACCCCACAGGACCCACAGAACCCCCCAGAAC
ensembl:lncRNA